UGGGCAACCUGCCCUCAGCUCUGGGAUAACUCCGGGGAACCGGGGCUAAUACCGGAUACGACCUUCCCUCGCAUGGGGGUUGGUGGAAAGUUCUUCGGCUGAGGAUGGGCCCGCGGCCUAUCAGCUUGUUGGUGGGGUGAUGGCCUACCAAGGCGACGACGGGUAGCCGGCCUGAGAGGGCGACCGGCCACACUGGGACUGAGACACGGCCCAGACUCCUACGGGAGGCA
rnacentral:rRNA from 1 species